rnacentral:snRNA from 1 species
GUGUUUGCUUUGACAGCAUACAUACUAAAAUUGGAACCAUACAGAAAAGAUUAGUAGGGUUCCUGUAUGAGGUUGACAGAAAGGAAAAUAAUAAACAUCUAAAUUCA